rnacentral:piRNA from 1 species
UGAUGGUAUGAGGAAACAGAUUCCAGU